rnacentral:rRNA from 1 species
ACGCACGCUGGCGGCGUGCCUAAUACCUGCAAGUCGAACGCUUCUUUCCUCCCGAGUGCUUGCACUCAAUUGGAAAGAGGAGUGGCGGACGGGUGAGUAACACGUGGGUAACCUACCCAUCAGAGGUGGAUAACACUUGGAAACAGGUGCUAAUACCGCAUAACAGUUUAUGCCGCAUGGCAUAAGAGUGAAAGGCGCUUUCGGGUGUCGUUGAUGGAUGGACCCGCGGUGCAUUAGCUAGUUGGUGAGGUAACGGCUCACCAAGGCCACGAUGCAUAGCCGACCUGAGAGGGUGAUCGGCCACACUGGGACUGAGACACGGCCCAGACUCCUACGGGAGGCAGCAGUAGGGAAUCUUCGGCAAUGGACGAAAGUCUGACCGAGCAACGCCGCGUGAGUGAAGAAGGUUUUCGGAUCGUAAAACUCUGUUGUUAGAGAAGAACAAGGACGUUAGUAACUGAACGUCCCCUGACGGUAUCUAACCAGAAAGCCACGGCUAACUACGUG